CCUACGGGAGGCUGCAGUGGGGAAUAUUGCUCAAUGGGGGGAACCCUGAUGCAGCGACGCCGCGUGGGUGAAGGAGUAUUUCGGUAUGUAAAGCCCUAUCAGCAGGGAAGAACAAUGACGGUAGCUGACUAAGAAGCACCGGCUAAAUACGUGCCAGCAGCCGCGGGAAUACGUAUGGUGCAAGCGUUAUCCGGAUUUACUGGGUGUAAAGGGAGCGCAGGCGGCGCGUUAAGCCUGGUGUGAAAGCGCGCGGCCCAACCGCGGGACUGCAUUGGGAACUGGCGCGCUGGAGUGCCGGAGGGGUGGGCGGAAUGCCUAGUGUAGCGGUGAAAUGCGUAGAUAUUAGGAGGAACACCAGUGGCGAAGGCGGCCUACUGGACGGUGACUGACGCUGAGGCUCGAAAGCGUGGGGAGCAAACAGGAUUAGAUACCCCUGUAGUC
rnacentral:rRNA from 1 species